rnacentral:ncRNA from 2 species
CCAAAUGCACCUCGCGAUUUGUCCGGCCGGAUUGCGGCGAGGCUUCCUUGCGGGGGAGAGGCAAAAUAAGCGCGCUAAAGAGGCUUGCGGCACGGUUGC